rnacentral:rRNA from 1 species
UACGUAGGGGGCAAGCGUUGUCCGGAAUUAUUGGGCGUAAAGAGCGUGUAGGCGGCCAGAUAAGUCCGCUGUGAAAUCUCGAGGCUCAACUUCGAGCUGUCGGUGGAAACUAUCUGGCUAGAGUCCGGAAGAGGAGAAUGGAAUUCCUGGUGUAGCGGUGAAAUGCGCAGAUAUCAGGAAGAACACCCGUGGCGAAGGCGGUUCUCUGGGCCUUACCUGACGCUCAGGUGCGAAAGCUAGGGGAGCGAACAGG